AAAUGGAAAGCGAAGUUUGCUCUCGGUUUCGACCCGAUUUUUGGUUAUAAACCUUCAUUUU
rnacentral:tRNA from 1 species